CCUACGGGCGGCAGCAGUGGGGAAUAUUGCACAAUGGGGGAAACCCUGAUGCAGCGACGCCGCGUGAGUGAAGAAGUAAUUCGUUAUGUAAAGCCCUAUCAGCAGGGAAGAAAAUGACGGUACCUGAGAAAGAAGCCCCGGCUAACUACGUGCCAGCAGCCGCGGUGAUACGUAGGGGGCCAGCGUUAUCCGGAUUUACUGGGUGUAAAGGGAGCGGAGACGGCAGUGCAAGUCUGGAGUGAAAGGCGGGGGGUCAACCCCCGGACUGCUCUGGAAACUGUACGGCUGGAGUGCAGGAGAGGUAAGUGGAAUUCCUAGUGUAGCGGUGAAAUGCGUAGAUAUUAGGAGGAACACCAGUGGCGAAGGCGGCUUACUGGACUGUAACUGACGUUGAGGCUCGAAAGCGUGGGGAGCAAACAGGAUUAGAUACCCUGGUAGUC
rnacentral:rRNA from 1 species